GAUGAACGCUAGCGGCAGGCCUAAUACAUGCAAGUCGAACGGUGUCUUCGGACAUAGUGGCGCACGGGUGCGUAACACGUAUGCAACCUACCUUACAUUGGGGGAUCGCCUUUCGAAAGGGAGAUUAAUACCGCAUAAGACAGUAGCUGGGCAUCCAGCAGCUGUUAAAGAUUUAUCGAUGUAAGCUGGGCAUGCGUCCAAUUAGCUAGUUGGUGAGGUAACGGCUGACCAAGGCAAUGAUUGGUAGGGGAACUGCGAGGUAAAUCCCCCCCGCAGGGACGGAGGUGCGGGCCAGACUCCGACGGGAGGCAGCAGUAGGGAGUAUUGUGCAAGUGACGCAAGUCUGACCCAGCCAUGCCGCGUGCGGGAUGAAGGCGUUAUGCGCUGUAAACUGCUUUUAUACAGGAAGAAACGAAUCUUGCGAGAGGCAUUGACGGUACUGUAUGAAUAAGCACCGGCCAGCUCCGUGCCAGCAGCCGCCGGAACAC
rnacentral:rRNA from 1 species